rnacentral:rRNA from 1 species
UACAGAGGGUGCGAGCGUUGUCCGGAAUCACUGGGCGUAAAGGGCGCGUAGGCGGCCUGGCAAGUCUGUGGUGAAAGCUCAGGGCUCAACUCUGAGUCGGCCAUAGAUACUGCGAGGCUCGAGUCGACUAGAGGCAGAUGGAAUUCCGGGUGUAGCGGUGGAAUGCGUAGAGAUCCGGAAGAACACCGGUGGCGAAGGCGGUCUGCUGGGGUCGAACUGACGCUGAUGCGCGACAGCGUGGGGAUCAAACAGG